rnacentral:rRNA from 1 species
GACGAACGCUGGCGGCGUGCUUAACACAUGCAAGUCGAACGGAAAGGCCCUGCUUUUGUGGGGUGCUCGAGUGGCGAACGGGUGAGUAACACGUGAGUAACCUGCCCUUGACUUUGGGAUAACUUCAGGAAACUGGGGCUAAUACCGGAUAGGAGCUCCUGCUGCAUGGUGGGGGUUGGAAAGUUUCGGCGGUUGGGGAUGGACUCGCGGCUUAUCAGCUUGUUGGUGGGGUAGUGGCUUACCAAGGCUUUGACGGGUAGCCGGCCUGAGAGGGUGACCGGCCACAUUGGGACUGAGAUACGGCCCAGACUCCUACGGGAGGCAGCAGUGGGGAAUAUUGCACAAUGGGCGGAAGCCUGAUGCAGCAACGCCGCGUGCGGGAUGACGGCCUUCGGGUUGUAAACCGCUUUCGCCUGUGACGAAGCGUGAGUGACGGUAAUGGGUAAAGAAGCACCGGCUAACUACGUGCCAGCAGCCGCGGUGAUACGUAGGGUGCGAGCGUUGUCCGGAUUUAUUGGGCGUAGAGGGCUCGUAGGUGGUUGAUCGCGUCGGAAGUGUAAUCUUGGGGCUUAACCCUGAGCGUGCUUUCGAUACGGGUUGACUUGAGGAAGGUAGGGGAGAAUGGAAUUCCUGGUGGAGCGGUGGAAUGCGCAGAUAUCAGGAGGAACACCAGUGGCGAAGGCGGUUCUCUGGGCCUUUCCUGACGCUGAGGAGCGAAAGCGUGGGGAGCGAACAGGCUUAGAUACCCUGGUAGUCCACGCUGUAAACGGUGGGUACUAGGUGUGGGGUCCAUUCCACGGGUUCCGUGCCGUAGCUAACGCUUUAAGUACCCCGCCUGGGGAGUACGGCCGCAAGGCUAAAACUCAAAGGAAUUGACGGGGCCCCGCACAAGCGGCGGAGCAUGCGGAUUAAUUCGAUGCAACGCGUAGAACCUUACCUGGGUUUGACAUGGAUCGGGAGUGCUCAGAGAUGGGUGUGCCUCUUUUGGGGUCGGUUCACAGGUGGUGCAUGGCUGUCGUCAGCUCGUGUCGUGAGUUGUUGGGUUAAGUCCCGCAACGAGCGCAACCCUUGUUCACUGUUGCCAGCACGUUAUGGUGGGGACUCAGUGGAGACCGCCGGGGUCAACUCGGAGGAAGGUGGGGAUGACGUCAAGUCAUCAUGCCCCUUAUGUCCAGGGCUUCACGCAUGCAACAAUGGCUGGUACAGAGAGUGGCGAGCCUGUGAGGGUGAGCGAAUCUCGGAAAGCCGGUCUCAGUUCGGAUUGGGGUCUGCAACUCGACCUCAUGAAGUCGGAGUCGCUAGUAAUCGCAGAUCAGCAACGCUGCGGUGAAUACGUUCCCGGG